rnacentral:rRNA from 1 species
UACGUAGGAGGCAAGCGUUGUCCGGAAUUACUGGGCGUAAAGCGCGUGUAGGUGGUGGGACAAGUCUGCUGUGAAAGCGCCUGGCUUAACCGGGCGAGGUCGGCGGAAACUGUCCGACUAGAGGACGGUAGAGGGGGGGUGGAAUUCCCGGUGUAGUGGUGAAAUGCGUAGAGAUCGGGAGGAACACCGGUGGCGAAGGCGGCCCGCUGGGCAGGAAGGCUCGCAAGAGCCGGCUGACGCUGAGGCGCGACAGCGUGGGGAGCAAACAGG